rnacentral:rRNA from 1 species
AGAGUUUGAUCCUGGCUCAGGCNCNAACGCUAGCGGCAGGCCUAAUACAUGCAAGUCGGACGGGAUUGAGGAGCUUGCUCCUCAUGAGAGUGGUGCACGGGUGCGUAACACGUAUGUAACCUACCUUAGUCAGGGGGAUAGCCUCUCGAAAGAGAGAUUAAGACCGCAUAAAAUCACACUGUGGCAUCACAGAAUGAUCAAAUAUUAAUAGGACUAAGAUGGGCAUGCGGAACAUUAGCUAGUUGGUAAGGUAACGGCUUACCAAGGCUACGAUGUUUAGGGGAUCUGAGAGGAUGGCCCCCCACACUGGUACUGAGACACGGACCAGACUCCUACGGGAGGCAGCAGUAAGGAAUAUUGGUCAAUGGGCGGAAGCCUGAACCAGCCAUGCCGCGUGCAGGAAGACGGCCCUACGGGUUGUAAACUGCUUUUGUACCGGAAUAAACCUACUUACGUGUAAGUAGCUGAAUGUACGGUAAGAAUAAGGAUCGGCUAACUCCGUGCCAGCAGCCGCGGUAAUACGGAGGAUCCGAGCGUUAUCCGGAUUUAUUGGGUUUAAAGGGUGCGUAGGCGGCCUAUUAAGUCAGGGGUGAAAGACGGUAGCUCAACUAUCGCAGUGCCCUUGAUACUGAUGGGCUUGAAUGCAGCUGAGGUAGGCGGAAUGUGACAAGUAGCGGUGAAAUGCAUAGAUAUGUCACAGAACACCGAUUGCGAAGGCAGCUUACUAAAGUGCGAUUGACGCUGAGGCAC